GAUGAACGCUAGCGGCAGGCCUAAUACAUGCAAGUCGUACGGCAACACAGUUGCGAGCAAUCGCAACCGGUGGCGAGUGGCGCACGGGUGAGUAACGCGUAUGUAACCUACCCUUCUCCGGGACAUAACUCCGCGAAAGCGGUGCUAAUAUCCCAUACCAACUCAUCAAGACAUCUUCUUGAGUUGAAAGCAGCAAUGCGGUGAAGGAUGGGCAUGCGUCCCAUUAGCUGGUUGGUGAGGUAAUGGCCCACCAAGGCUACGAUGGGUAGGGGUUCUGAGAGGAAAGCCCCCCACACUGGUACUGAGACACGGACCAGACUCCUACGGGAGGCAGCAGUAAGGAAUAUUGGGCAAUGGUCGAAAGACUGACCCAGCCAUGCCGCGUGCAGGAUGAAGGCCCUAUGGGUUGUAAACCUGCUUUUAGCCGGGUAAUAAACACCCGUUUUAUAACCGGGCCCGAAGGUACCGGCUGGAAUAAGCAUCGGCUAACUCCGUGCCAGCAGCCG
rnacentral:rRNA from 1 species